UGUGGUCAGCUCUCCUCAAAUAAAUCAGCUCGCCAGUGUCUGGCGGCAUCAUGGGUGUGAUAACCAUCUACGCUUGUGAUCGCCUGCGAGGUAAACCUCUGGUCUGCAGAGGUUCGCUGGAGCUUAUAGAUGUCUCUCCUCCGUGAAGACAGCUGUCUGAGUUCGAUCUCAAAUCAGGUAGGACUACCCGCUGAACUUAA
rnacentral:misc_RNA from 1 species